CUGUUCGAGCGUCAUUACAACUCUCAAGCUCUGCUUGGUUUUAGGCUUCGCCUCUCAAGGUGGGCUGUAAAGUCAGUGGCGGUGCCAUUUGGCUUCAAGCGUAGUAAUUCUUCUCGCUUUGGUGACCAGUUGCGUACCUGCUAGCAUUAUAAUUUUUAAAGGUUGACCUCGGAUCAGGUAGGGAUACCCGCUGAACUUAA
rnacentral:misc_RNA from 1 species